rnacentral:lncRNA from 1 species
AAUUAACAAAAGAAUGUGCCUAUUUAUAGGCUUACAAGUGAAUCAAAGAAGAUCUAAAAAUACUCCUAAAAAUCUUCAAUCCUAAUAACAGAAAUAUCAAAUUCUAUGCAGAAUAUCUGCACUAAAUAAAAUUGAAAUCUCAACAGAUUUUUCAUAAUAUUAUUUUGAAUUAAUCCUAACAUUCUCUCUUAAUUCAAACAUAAUAUUUUUAUUACAAUAAUUAACAAUUAAAAUUUUUAAUCUAGCAUUUGAAGCACUUCCCUUCAAUUAACUUUGUUGAAGCACCUCUCUCCAACUCAUCAUUUUGAUGCACUUCUCACCAAAUAUUGAUACACUUCUCAUCAAACUAGCAAUUUUUUUUUUUUUUUGAAGCACUUCUCUUCAAAUAUUGAUGCACUUCUCAUCACUUUCUUUUAUUUUGGAGCACAUCUCUCCAAUGUUCUCUUGGAGCACUUCUCUCCAAUUUUCU